rnacentral:sRNA from 1 species
CUAUCUGAGUCUAAGGCGAAGUCGCUGGCAGCAAUGCUUUGAACCCAAAGUUCUUAAGUCCAGGCGCCUCUAAAUACAGACUUGAUAAUCAUAUUCACUGAUGACGUCAAAAGGGUUUCUAUGACACAACAGCCGCAAGCUAAAUACCGU